UUAACAUUUCGCCAACGGUUUCAGGAAUUUUAAAGUGCUGUUUGAAAAAUAAUAUCUGAAAGAAGAAAUUUAAGAAUCAGUACAUAUCACCUGCUGGGAAAGAAAAGCAAAUGGAAAUUCUAAAUUUUGUGGUUAUAUUUUUGACAAUCUAUGUGACAGUACAGACGACAUCAUAUCCUUGUGGCAACCAGGCAGAUAUUUCAUUUGGUUUUGGACUCAAAAGGGAAACAAGUGAAAGAUUAGAUUAUUUAAAAGAGAAAAUCAAAUGUAUAGUCACAGAAAUGGAAGAAAUAAAGGAGAGAAACAGACGAGUUAUAUUUGAAAAUCAUCACAAUUAAGGAAACUUUAAUAGUUGCGAAAAAAAACGAAGAAUGAUUAUUGUGAUAUCUAAUUUAGUACAUUGUUCAAGCGAGUAUGAGUUUAAUGUUUGUUGUUUGUAUGAACAAAAUUGUGUAAAUGUGUUUAAAUUAAAUGUUUUUAAGUUUUUCAGAAAGCUUGAUAUUUAUUUUUGAAAGAAAUUCAUGUUUGUUAUUUAUUAUUUUAUUUAUUUUAGUAAAGAAUGAUAUAAUUGC